rnacentral:rRNA from 1 species
AUUGAACGCUGGCGGCAUGCCUUACACAUGCAAGUCGAACGGCAGCACGGGUGCUUGCACCUGGUGGCGAGUGGCGAACGGGUGAGUAAUAUAUCGGAACGUACCUUAUUGUGGGGGAUAACGCAGCGAAAGCUGUGCUAAUACCGCAUAAUCCCUAAGGGGGAAAGCGGGGGACCGUAAGGCCUCGCGCAAUUAGAGCGGCCGAUACCUGAUUAGCUAGUUGGUGAGGUAAAGGCUCACCAAGGCAACGAUCAGUAGCGGGUCGGAGAGGACGUUCAGGCACACUGGGACUGAGACACGGCCCAGACUCCUACGGGAGGCAGCAGUGGGGAAUUUUGGACAAUGGGGGCAACCCUGAUCCAGCAAUGCCGCGUGAGUGAAGAAGGCCUUCGGGUUGUAAAGCUCUUUUGUCAGGGAAGAAACAGCAGCUCUAACACAGUUUGCGAAUGACGGUACCUGAAGAAUAAGCACCGGCUAACUACGUGCAGCCGCCGCAGUAA